rnacentral:rRNA from 1 species
ACAUAACGUAUGGAAGGGAACCCGGUGAACUGAAACAUCUAAGUAGCCGGAGGAAGAGAAAGAAAAAUCGAUUUCCAAAGUAGCGGCGAGCGAAAUGGAAAGAGGGCAAACCGAGAUGCGUGCAUUUCGGGGUUCGGACCGCAUAAUUGAUUCAAGAGUUUUAGCAGAAUGGUUUUGGGAAAGCCAGCCAAAGAGAGUGAAAGCCUCGUAAGCGAAAAGACGAUUGACAUGGCGGUAUCCAGAGUAGGACGAGACACGUGAAACCUUGUCUGAACGCGCGGGGACCACCCCGUAACCCUAAAUACUUCUUAGUGACCGAUAGCGCAUAGUACUGUGAAGGAAAGGUGAAAAGAACCCCGGGAGGGGAGUGAAAGAGAACCUGAAACCCUGUGUUUACAAGCUGUCGAACCUCUUUAUAUGAGGAACGGCGUACUUUUUGUAGAACGGUCCGGCGAGUUACGAUUACUGGCAAGGUUAAGCACUAAAGGUGUGGAGCCGAAGGGAUACCAAGUCUGAAUAGGGCGAUUAGUCAGUGAUUGUAGACCCGAAACCGGGUGACCUAUCCAUGUCCAGGCUGAAGUUUCCGUAAAAGGAAAUGGAGGGCCGAAGCCACAUCCGUUGAAAAGGGUGGGCAUGAGGUGUGGAUAGCGGAGAAAUUCCAAUCGAACCCGGAGAUAGCUGGUUCUCCUCGAAAUAGCUUUAGGGCUAGCCUCGUAUUAGACUACUGGAGGUAGAGCACUGAAUUCUUAAGGGGGCGUCAAAGCUUACCAAGAGAUAUCAAACUCCGAAUGCCAGAUAGCCGAUGUACGGGAGUCAGACUAUACGAGAUAAGUUGGAUAGUCAAAAGGGAAACAGCCCAGACCUACAGCUAAGGUCCCAAAGUGUGUGUUAAGUGGUAAAGGAUGUGGGAUUUCAUAGACAACUAGGAUGUUGGCUCAGAAGCAGCCAUACAUUCAAAGAGUGCGUAACAGCUCACUAGUCGAGAGGUCCUGCGCCGAAAAUGUCCGGGGCUAAAACACAACACCGAAGCUUAGGAUUCAU